ACCAACUGGGCUUUUGCCUUGUGAACUCUGUGGAAGCGUUGAGUCAGCUGCUUGAAUUACUAAGUGGAACCCGCAGAAUUGGUUGCUCUGCAGCCUGAAUUCGUUCCCAGUGUCUCUGGUUCCAUAUUGGUUUAUGACCAAUGACUAAUGCUUCACCCAUGAGUCAUUAAACCCAUUCUGCAUUUUCCUGGUUCUCUAAUCUUCUUGGAAUUCAUCCUUGUGUCCAACGGUCCAGUGCUCUAGCUUGGUAUUCGGAUGACUGAGUGAACAGAAAUGGUAAUAAAAAUGUAUAUGGGAUAUAACAGUUCAAAAUGUAAUUCCCUCAACAGGAGGCUUCUGAGCAAAUCAAAUUCCUCCCAAACUAUGUCAAAUGCUUUGAAAUAUUUGGAGCUUUCAGUUUCCUUUGCACCUUCCUGAGAGGUCAACAAAUACAGCAAGAAUAUUUGGUAGCUCUGCACAAUCUUUGCCAUGCAAUUCAGACUUCAGAGGGUAGCUCUACCUUCUAAUGCUCUUGAUUAAUGGUGCUAAUGGAAGAAGGCAGAAGCAUGGAUAAUCUAAUAUAGGUAGCAGUUGAUGAAUAUGCAUGUGUUUGAUGUUCUAGAAAACGACUUUAAAGAAAACAGUAAAGUGCUAUUGGAGGCUAAACUUAGGAUGAGAAGAAAAUAUGUCCAACUUCUUGACUACUGCUCAAUUCCCUGAAAUCUGUACCAUUUUAAGAUCAGCUAUUUUCACAGAAAGAGCCAGGAGUGGCCCAAUAACUAUGGAAGACUGUGGCCGACUAAGUGGAAGGCCUUCGGUCUUGGACUGAACUUUACCACUGGCCUUCCUGGGUCUCCAGAUCUUGGAACUUCUCAGCCUCCAUAAUUGUUUAUCCACGGUGAACCUCAGUCCAGAAGCAGAUAAUUACAUGCCUGUCCUUGACCUCACUUCAUCUCACCACGUAAGCACUUUAUUAUCUCACAUCAUCACAAAAAGGGUGAGUACAGUAGAAUCAGAUAUUUUGGGAGAG